AGAGCUCUCAUCUGAUCAGUCCCGAAUCUUAUGUCGAUUCUACCCUGGCAGAAUACAAAGAGCAUUAAGGGUAAUAUUGACGUUUCAGAUACGCUAUACAUCCAACGGUCCAAAACUCAUCCCCAUAGCCAAAGGCCCAUUCGACCGUUGGAUAUGAUCGACAGAGAUAGAGAGGGAGCAGGGAUCGACGGCGAAGUGACGAGAAAAAGGCUCUGGCUUUCUCCGCCCUCACUUCUAUCAAGCUCUUGAUCGACGGCGAAUUUACUUUUUUGGGGGAGUUUCAGUUGGGAGAGCUAUUGCUGGGGAAUUUGGGGAAGGAAUGAUGCAUCCCGUUGACCCUGUAAAGGCAAGUAUUCAGAGCUGAGCUAUUUGUGAAAGUCAUAUGGUGGUCCACACACUCACAAGCUUCUUCUGGUCUCAUGGUUAUUAUGAAGGCUUAAACAUUUGAUAGCAUGGGAAGAAAAAUCUACAUGCAAUCCAAGUGCAUAUCUCACCGAUGCCUCCCUGGGAUGUGACUACAACAAAAUUUCUAAGUACAGGAUCAGCCUUGAGGUAUCAGUUCUGUUUUGUGGUUAUACAAUAUUUACUAUUCAAUAAUUAAUUUCCUUUGAUUUUUGUUCUGGUUUUUGAAUUUAAUUAUUGUAUAGUAAAUAUCAGCAUAUUCAUGAAGAAAUAC